rnacentral:tRNA from 1 species
GCCGCGGUAACUCAGUUGGGAGAGUGCAAGACUGAAGAUCUUGAAGUCGCCGGUUCGAGCCCGGCCCGCGGCACCA